GUGCUUGCUUCAGCAGCACAUAUGCUAAAAUUAGAAAAAUACAGAGAAGAUUAGCAUAGCCCCUGCUCAAGGAUGACACACAAAUCUGUGAAAUGUUCCAAUUAAAA
ensembl:snRNA U6 U6 spliceosomal RNA